UUUUUUUUUUUUUUUUUUUUUUUUUACUAUUCUUUCAUUGUCUCAUCACAUUCAAGAGCCCGACCAUGCUGUCUUGGCACAGAUUCACAAUCCUGAGAUGGUAAUAAAUAUCUGCUGAUGGUUUACUUUACACAUUUUUGAUUCAGUCCUUAACCCCCUGCUAUUUUUUCCUUCUCAGCUUCUCUGAGCUGUCCUUCCUUUCCAUCUCAACAAAUUCCUUGUCCACACCAAGGUUAAUUUUGCCCCAUCUGUGGUUAGUUAACUCACAAAUGAUCUUUUACAGCUUCUUCCCCCUGGAGCUGCUGGUGUUUUUUAUUUUCAGCCUUUAAAAAAAUGUUACAGAGUGGAGUGCUCUGCCCACUCCCCACCCCACAACCUGCUGUGGCACCUCUGGAUGGGCAGAGGGUCUUGUGUGGUCUGUCUCACCUCCUGUGGACUCGUGACUCAGGCUGUCCCCUCAACUGAUCAACCAAGACAAUCUUUUUUUCCUGUCAAAGUUUAAUUCCUUCUAAUUCUUUAAUUGUAAUAUAUCCUAUUUGUGUCUUUCUUAUACAUUUUAUCAUAUAUUUAUUUUUACUGCAUUAAAUUGAGAGCCUGGCUGCAUUUGAAUUUACAUUUGUUAGCUGUUUGCAUAAUGGCAAUUAUAAUAGUAAAAUUUUAAAUGGGAGCAAUAAUAGUAAAUAUCUCAAAGCGGUGAAGAUAGAGUUACAUUACUUAUCUGCAGCACUUAGAAUGGUACGGAGCACAUGGAAGUGCUCCACAUGUCAACCCUGCAAGGUAUGGCAGGUGAUGUCCCAUUUCAUAGAGAAUGGAACAGAAGAACCAAGAGGUGAGGUCACCUGCUUGACAUCUCGCAGUUGUGGGGAGGAGUUCGGGCAGUGGGCGUGGGUAUUUUAACUCCUGGUUAUUAUUGCCUUUACCAUCUCAGGGUUGUCAGAUUUAGAAAAAAAAAAAAA
rnacentral:lncRNA from 1 species